AGCGAACGCUGGCGGCAGGCCUAACACAUGCAAGUCGAACGAAGUCUUCGGACUUAGUGGCGGACGGGUGAGUAACACGUGGGAACGUACCCUUUGCUACGGAAUAGCUCCGGGAAACUGGAAUUAAUACCGUAUGUGCCCUACGGGGGAAAGAUUUAUCGGCAAAGGAUCGGCCCGCGUUGGAUUAGCUAGUUGGUGGGGUAAUGGCCUACCAAGGCGACGAUCCAUAGCUGGUCUGAGAGGAUGAUCAGCCACAUUGGGACUGAGACACGGCCCAAACUCCUACGGGAGGCAGCAGUGGGGAAUAUUGGACAAUGGGCGCAAGCCUGAUCCAGCCAUGCCGCGUGAGUGAUGAAGGCCUUAGGGUUGUAAAGCUCUUUCACCGGAGAAGAUAAUGACGGUAUCCGGAGAAGAAGCCCCGGCUAGCUUCGUGCCAGCAGCCGCCGUAACAC
rnacentral:rRNA from 1 species